UGGGAAGCUGGGCGGGGCUGCCGACCCAGUUGGGUUUCGAGUGGCCGUUCUGGGACUGAGGACUUUCUGGACAGGGGUGCCCGACCUCCCCUUGUCAUUGUGCUUGCUUCGGACGCUGAGCGGUCUACUGGCUCGUUGAGGUGUGGCUUAAACUACCUUUCAGUGGAAUAAAUACUGUGACCUCUCAGGUCAACUUCUAACUGGAGAGUCUGUUCUGUGAUCAUAUACCUCUGCU
rnacentral:lncRNA from 1 species